GGUCAGUAGCGAACCGAAAGGGGAGCGACCCGUCAAAUCGGGCAAUCACAC
rnacentral:rRNA from 1 species